UACGUAGGGGGCAAGCGUUGUCCGGAUUUAUUGGGCGUAAAGAGCGUGUAGGCGGCCUGAAAGGUCAGCUGUGAAAACUCGAGGCUCAACCUCGAGACGUCGGUUGAAACCAUCUGGCUAGAGUCCGGAAGAGGAGCGUGGAAUUCCCGGUGUAGCGGUGAAAUGCGCAGAUAUCGGGAAGAACACCCGUGGCGAAGGCGGCACUCUGGGACGGUACUGACGCUGAGACGCGAAAGCGUGGGGAGCGAACAGG
rnacentral:rRNA from 1 species